CAAGACAACUUUACGGAGUUGACGAUUGACGGAGCGAAGCGACGUCAAAGCGUUCAUUAAAGUCGAGUUGGCUUAGGGAUACGUUCGUUGGGUAGGGGAGCGUUCUGUAAGCCUGUGAAGGUGUGUCGUGAGGCAUGCUGGAGGUAUCAGAAGUGCGAAUGCUGACAUAAGUAACGAUAAAGCGGGUGAAAAGCCCGCUCGCCGGAAGACCAAGGGUUCCUGUCCAACGUUAAUCGGGGCAGGGUGAGUCGACCCCUAAGGCGAGGCCGAAAGGCGUAGUCGAUGGGAAACGGGUUAAUAUUCCCGUACUUGGUGUUACUGCGAAGGGGGGACGGAGAAGGCUAUGUUGGCCGGGCGACGGUUGUCCCGGUUUAAGCGUGUAGGUGUGUGUUCCAGGUAAAUCCGGUUCACUUUAACACUGAGGCGUGACGACGAGGCACUACGGUGCUGAAGCAACAAAUGCCCUGCUUCCAGGAAAAGCCUCUAAGCAUCAGGUAACACGAAAUCGUACCCCAAACCGACACAGGUGGUCAGGUAGAGAAUACCAAGGUGCUUGAGAGAACUCGGGUGAAGGAACUAGGCAAAAUGGUGCCGUAACUUCGGGAGAAGGCACGCUGACACGUAGGUGAAGUGAUUUACUCAUGGAGCUGAAGUCAGUCGAAGAUACCAGCUGGCUGCAACUGUUUAUUAAAAACACAGCACUGUGCAAACACGAAAGUGGACGUAUACGGUGUGACGCCUGCCCGGUGCCGGAAGGUUAAUUGAUGGGGUCAGCGUAAGCGAAGCUCCUGAUCGAAGCCCCGGUAAACGGCGGCCGUAACUAUAACGGUCCUAAGGUAGCGAAAUUCCUUGUCGGGUAAGUUCCGACCUGCACGAAUGGCGUAAUGAUGGCCAGGCUGUCUCCACCCGAGACUCAGUGAAAUUGAACUCGCUGUGAAGAUGCAGUGUACCCGCGGCAAGACGGAAAGACCCCGUGAACCUUUACUAUAGCUUGACACUGAACAUUGAGCCUUGAUGUGUAGGAUAGGUGGGAGGCUUUGAAGUGUGGACGCCAGUCUGCAUGGAGCCGACCUUGAAAUACCACCCUUUAAUGUUUGAUGUUCUAACGUGGACCCGUAAUCCGGGUUGCGGACAGUGUCUGGUGGGUAGUUUGACUGGGGCGGUCUCCUCCUAAAGAGUAACGGAGGAGCACGAAGGUUGGCUAAUCCUGGUCGGACAUCAGGAGGUUAGUGCAAUGGCAUAAGCCAGCUUGACUGCGAGCGUGACGGCGCGAGCAGGUGCGAAAGCAGGUCAUAGUGAUCCGGUGGUUCUGAAUGGAAGGGCCAUCGCUCAACGGAUAAAAGGUACUCCGGGGAUAACAGGCUGAUACCGCCCAAGAGUUCAUAUCGACGGCGGUGUUUGGCACCUCGAUGUCGGCUCAUCACAUCCUGGGGCUGAAGUAGGUCCCAAGGGUAUGGCUGUUCGCCAUUUAAAGUGGUACGCGAGCUGGGUUUAGAACGUCGUGAGACAGUUCGGUCCCUAUCUGCCGUGGGCGCUGGAGAACUGAGGGGGGCUGCUCCUAGUACGAGAGGACCGGAGUGGACGCAUCACUGGUGUUCGGGUUGUCAUGCCAAUGGCACUGCCCGGUAGCUAAAUGCGGAAGAGAUAAGUGCUGAAAGCAUCUAAGCACGAAACUUGCCCCGA
rnacentral:rRNA from 2 species